GCUUGAAUCCGAAAUUUUUGGUUCUUUGGUUCUAGGUCGCUGUUAAAUGUUGUGUUUAAGCAGUGUUCACAUCUUUCUUCAUGCGGUUGCACCAAUAUCAAAUACUUCGGUAUGAAUAAAUCCGUUGGUCUUACCUCGCUCGCCGAGAAAAGCGAAGAAAAUUCGUAUGCGGAAAAAAUAGCGAUCGUACACGUUCUACUGUGAAUAACCAUCGUACCGGGACCUUCCCGAAAUUGGAUUACUGAAAUUGGAGCAUACAGCCGAGCGUAAUAAUCCUGUUUGUAUCUAUCAAGAACCAUUAUCUCACAUCUUUAUGCGAAGCGGACCAUCUACGAAUGGUGCGCCAUUCUAUCGUACGAGAAUGAGGGCGUCUAUGUUUGAGUCAGGGCGCGGACUUGCCUAUUUACAUUCUAGAAUUCUAUCCAGACCGUCGGGAACAAAUUUUACGACGAAGCUCAUUUGAUUCUAAAGCGACGAAAUGUGAUGGUCGCGAUCUUGAAUGAGACUGUGAGCUACUACCUACUUUUACAAUCUUUUGUUUGAUUUUUGUAUCCGUAUUCUACAUCAUUACUAUUAGAACAUUAAAAAACUCUCGAUCGAUAAA